rnacentral:rRNA from 1 species
AUUAAACGCUGGCGGCAUGCCUUACACAUGCAAGUCGAACGGCAGCACGGGGGCAACCCUGGUGGCGAGUGGCGGACGGGUGAGUAAAGCAUCGGAACGUAUCCUGGAGUGGGGGAUAACGUAGCGAAAGUUACGCUAAUACCGCAUAUUCUGUGAGCAGGAAAGCAGGGGAUCACAAGACCUUGCGCUCUGGGAGCGGCCGAUGUCGGAUUAGCUAGUUGGUGGGGUAAAGGCCUACCAAGGCGACGAUCCGUAGCGGGUCUGAGAGGAUGAUCCGCCACACUGGGACUGAGACACGGCCCAGACUCCUACGGGAGGCAGCAGUGGGGAAUUUUGGACAAUGGGCGAAAGCCUGAUCCAGCCAUGCCGCGUGAGUGAAGAAGGCCUGGUGUAAG